GGCACGGUAGCUCAGAUGGUUAGAGCGGGCGACUCAUAAUCGCCAGGCCGACAGUUCGAUUCUGUCCCGUGCUA
rnacentral:tRNA from 1 species